rnacentral:tRNA from 1 species
GGUAAAAUGGCUGAAAAAUAAGCGAUAAAUUGUAAAUUUAUUAAUGAAUACUAAAUUCUUUUACCAU